rnacentral:rRNA from 1 species
AAUAUUGGACAUUGGGGGCAAUUCUGAUCCAUCUAUGUCGCGUGUGUGAACAUGGUCUUCGGAUUGUACAGCACUUGAAGCUGGGCGGAUGGGCUUUAGGUUAAUACACUGAAGUUCUGACGUUACCAACAGAAUAAGCUCCGUUUAACUCUGUGCCAGCAGCCUCGGUAAUACUGAGGGUGCAAGCGUUAAUCGGAAUUACUGAGCGUAAAGCGCGCGUAGGUGGUUCAGUAAGAUGGAUGUGAGAUCCCCGGGCUUAACCUGGGAACUGCUAUAAUAACUGCUGAGCUAGAGUACGGUAGAGGGUAGUGGAAUUUCCUGUGAAGCGGUGAAAUGCGUAGAUAUAGGAAGGAACACCAGUGGCGAAGGCGACUACCUGGACUAAUACUGACACUGAGGUGCGAAAGCGUGGGGAGCAAAC